AUUGAACGCUGGCGGCAGGCUUAACACAUGCAAAUCGAGCGGAGAUGAGGUGCUUGCACCUUAUCUUAGCGGCGGACGGGUGAGUAAUGCUUAGGAAUCUGCCUAUUAGUGGGGGACAACAUUCCGAAAGGAAUGCUAAUACCGCAUACGUCCUACGGGAGAAAGCAGGGGAUCUUCGGACCUUGCGCUAAUAGAUGAGCCUAAGUCGGAUUAGCUAGUUGGUGGGGUAAAGGCCUACCAAGGCGACGAUUUGUAGCGGGUCUGAGAGGAUGAUCCGCCACACUGGGACUGAGACACGGCCCAGACGCCUACGGGAGGCAGCAGUGGGGAAUAUUGGACAAUGGGGGGAACCCUGAUCCAGCCAUGCCGCGUGUGUGAAGAAGGCCUUAUGGUUGUAAAGCACUUUAAGCGAGGAGGAGGCUACCUGGAUUAAUACUCUAGGAUAGUGGACGUUACUCGCAGAAUAAGCACCGGCUAACUCUGUGCCAGCAGCCGCCGCAGUAA
rnacentral:rRNA from 1 species